UGCUAUAAAAUAUAACCGUGAUUUCGAUCUAUUGUAUGGCGAUGUUUUUCCGCAAUACAAAAUAUACCUACCAAUGAUAUUAUAUUAUUCUACGAUUAGAAUCGAUGGAUCAGCUGAAAUUUGAAUUUAAACACCGAACACGUUAACGUUGCAGUGUCGUCGUGUCAAAUUGCGUCCACUUUAAAUUUGCAUGUGGUAAGUGAACCGAGCAAUUUAUUUGUUUUACUAUGAUGUGUGUGUGUGUGUGUUUUUUUUUUUUUGUGCAUCUUGCGAAAUUUUGCACUUACCGAAAAUAGAUAUUCUCUUGAACACUAUUUUUUUCAAUCUUGUUAGUGUAUUUUAAAGGUAAUUUUUUAAAUUCUCUUGUAGUUUUCUUAAUAAACAAGGACUGACAGUAAUGGUUGUAUGCGUUUUG